AGGUAGCAUAAUCACUUGUCCCCUAAAUAGGGACUAGAAUGAAUGGCUAAAUGAAGACUCAACUGUCUCUUGCAGCCUACCAAUGAAACUGAUCUCUUAGUUCAAAAGCUAAGAUUUUUCCACAAGACGAGAAGACCCUGUGGAGCUAUCAAACCAAGCUCACAAAAAUGACCCCUUGGUUUUCAGUUGGGGCGACUUCGGAGCAUAAAAAACCCUCCGACACAGUACCAAUCAAACCUAGAUGGACACAUCAAUACACC
rnacentral:rRNA from 1 species